rnacentral:rRNA from 1 species
UCUGAAUCUGCGUACGGCUCCGCAAACCAGUUGUAAACUAUAGCAAGCAGGCUCGGGGUCGGCUCUCACGGGCUGGCUUCGGGCGAUAUGGAUAACCCUGGUAAUUCUGAGGCUAAUACAUGAACGUAAAACCUGGUUGACUGGGCUUCGGUCUGGGAGGCUGGGGGAUGUGUGAUUGCAGGCUUGGGUAACACCGGGAAAGGGCGCACGUCCAGACCGCGCUAUAAAGGAUGGGACCUCUUCGGGGGACCCGCCCCAGCGGCUCUUGCUGUGUGCUUCUGACCUAUCAACUAGACGGCAGCGUAAGGGACAUGCUAUGGU